rnacentral:rRNA from 1 species
UCCGGAUUUACUGGGUGUAAAGGGAGCGUAGACGGAAUGGCAAGUCUGAUGUGAAAGGCCGGGGCUCAACCCCGGGACUGCAUUGGAAACUGUCAAUCUAGAGUACCGGAGGGGUAAGUGGAAUUCCUAGUGUAGCGGUGAAAUGCGUAGAUAUUAGGAGGAACACCAGUGGCGAAGGCGGCUUACUGGACGGUAACUGACGUUGAGGCUCGAAAGCGGUGGGGAGAC